UACGGAGGGGGCUAGCGUUGUCCGGAAUCACUGGGCGUAAAGGGCGCGUAGGCGGCCUGAUAAGUAGGGGGUGAAAUCCUGCGGCUUAACCGCAGGGCUGCCUUCUAAACUGUCAGGCUUGAGCACAGUAGAGGCAGGUGGAAUUCCCGGUGUAGCGGUGGAAUGCGUAGAGAUCGGGAAGAACAUCAGUGGCGAAGGCGGCCUGCUGGGCUGUUGCUGACGCUGAGGCGCGACAGCGUGGGGAGCAAACAGG
rnacentral:rRNA from 1 species